rnacentral:lncRNA from 1 species
GAUUCGGCGCUCUCACCGCCGCGGCCCGGGUUCGAUUCCCGGUCAGGGAAGCCUUUCUUCUUCCUCGGAGGGCUGGCGUGUGUGCUCUGCCUCCCGCAGUACAGCCCGCCCACUUUUGCACAACCACGCAGCCAACUGCUUGUGCAAUGGGGCAACGCACACUGCGCCCCAGCCCCGGCCCCGGCCCCGGCCCAAGCUCUGUGCCUCUGCCUCCGCGGCCGCCCUCAGCUGCUGUCCUUUUCGCCAGCUGCGCCACCUCAGGACAUUCGGCCGCUCCCCACCUCCAGGCUGCUCGCUGUCCCCCUGCUCCCGCGCCUCCCCUGCCAGCCUUUCUGCGACACUCCUGGGCAGCCGGAACACCCCCAACCCAGACGUGGGCACGCGCGCACCAACACACAGCCACCCGCACACCCAGGAUGCCACAAUUCCGGAACAGCCGCACCCCACUCCACACACAGGGACCGGUGCCUGCACGCACUCGGCCUCACGUCCUCACUCACGACAUCACCGCCGCCGGCACCACGCACAGGAACGCGUGUGCUUCUGCGUGCGCGCGCACACACACACACACACACACACAGACACACACACACACAGAGAGACACAGAGGGCACGCCUUCUCUCCCUGCCCGUUGGGCCAGGUGCCAGGUGCCGCGUGCCAUGGCCUCCGUGGGUCUGAGAGUCACCAAGCAGCCCAGGGUGCAGUUGCUUUGGUUUUCCCACCGUGAGCCGAUCCAGGCUCCCAGGUGGGCUCGGGGCUUGAACACGUGGGAGCUGUCCCAGAGGGGCCCUGCACUUGGCACCCCUCCCCGCCUCCACCCCCCAGGAUGCAGGAUGCAGGAUGCAGGAUGCAGGAUGCAGAUGCGAGACCAGCAGGCUGGAGAGGGCCGGCAAGCUGGAGCCCUGGGCAAUGCCGGCGGCUGGCCAUCGGUGAGGGAGCCUCCUCCUCCGGGAGGAGGUGGGAGAGGGCUUGCGGACAGCCCGAGAGCCGAGAUGACAGCCAGCCAGUGUGUGGGGACAAGGUGGAGGAGAGGGGAGCGGCAUACGCUGGCGUUUCACCGUGGGCUCUCUCCGCACGGGAGGGAACCGACCCUCCCGGUCCCCGUCGCGGGCCACGCCACCACGGAUUUGGUAGCACGUUCCAAUCCCCGCCUCAUCUCUGAGCUCGCGCUCUCUGCGUCCCGAUUGACGCCUCGAUCCCUGCAUGCGGUUCUCUGCCCUACUCUGUGCCGGCUCGGCCCUCGUCAAGUAGCGGCUCCGGCUCCUUGUGCCCACACAGGACCUCCAGGGCAAGGGCGGAGCUGCCCAGCCGCUUAG